CAGUCGCCGCGGGAAAACGUAGGGUGCAAGCGUUAAUCGGAAUUACUGGGCGUAAAGCGUGCGUAGGCGGUUUGUUAAGUCUGUUGUGAAAUCCCCGGGCUCAACCUGGGAAUGGCAAUGGAUACUGGCAAGCUAGAGUGUGUCAGAGGAUGGUGGAAUUCCCGGUGUAGCGGUGAAAUGCGUAGAGAUCGGGAGGAACAUCAGUGGCGAAGGCGGCCAUCUGGGACAACACUGACGCUGAGGCACGAAAGCGUGGGGAGCAAACAGGAUUAGAUACCCCAGUAGUCCCUGUCUCUUAUAC
rnacentral:rRNA from 1 species